CACAUCAAUGGAGGCAGCAGGCGCGUAAUUACCCAAUCCUAAAUCAGGGAGGUAGUGACAACAAAUAACAAUACCGGGGCUCUUUAGUGCUGGUAAUUGGAAUGGGAACAAUGUAAAGAUCUUAUCGAGGAUCGAAUGGAGGGCAAGUCUGGUGCCAGCAGCCGCGGUAAUUCCAGCUCCAUUAGCGUAUAUUAAGGUUGUUGCAGUUAAAAAGCUCGUAGUUGGAUUUCUGAUCGAUACGCCCAACGCACUCGUAUGAAUUUUUUCGUGUAGGUGCAGUUGGCGCGAGUCGUUCUUCGAUGUCAGGGAAACGUUAGUCUGCCAAUCUUGUAGUUAGGAUUCGCAAGGCAUUACGUUCGUUGCAUAGGUUACUGUGAAGAAAUGAAGGUGUUCAAAGCAGGCUGUUGUCUUGGGUGGAUCUAGUAGCAUGGAAUAAUUUAAUAGGACGUCUGUUCUAUUUUGUUGGUUUAUCGAAUCGAUGUAAUGAUUAAUAGGGAUAGUUUGGGGGUGCUAGUAUUCAGUGGCCAGAGGUGAAAUUCUUGGAUUCACUGAAGACUGCCUUCUGCGAAAGCAUUCACCAAGGAUAUUUUCAUUAAUCAAGAACGAAAGUUGGGGGAUCGAAGACGGUCAGAUACCGUCGUAGUCCCAACCAUAAACUAUGCCAGCUAGGAAUUGGUUCGACGCAGCCAGAUCCUGGCCUCCCCGGCGCCUUAUGAGAAAUCAAAAGCUUCUAGGUUCCGGGGGGAGUAUGGUCGCAAGUCUGAAACUUAAAGGAAUUGACGGAAGGGCACCACCAGGAGUGGAGCCUGCGGCUUAAUUUGACUCAACUCGAGGAAACUUACCGGGUCCAGACAUAGUGAGGAUUGACAGAUGGAAGAUCUUUCUUGAUUCUAUGGGUAGUGGUGCAUGGCCGUUCUUAGUUGGUGGAGUAAUUUGUCUGGCUAAUUCCGAUAACGAACGAGACCUUGGCUUUUAUUUUGUUCGCUGAAUCAUAUAGGUCAAUUUGAUUCUUUCGCUUCGGCAUCUUAGAGGGACUACCGGUUCUAGCUAGCCGGGGGAAGUAACAAGGCAAUAACAGGUCUGUGAUGCCCUUAGAUGUUCUGGGCCGCACGCGCGCUACAAUGGUCAGUACAAUUUGUUUUCCACACCGAAAGGUUGUGGGUAAUCCGACUAACACUGAUCGUGAUUGGGAUAGAUGAUUGUUACUAUUAUCUUGAACGAGGAAUUCCUAGUAAGCGCAAGUCAGCAUCUUGCAUCGAAUACGUCCCUGCCCUUUGUACACACCGCCCGUCGCUACUACCGAUUGAGUGGUUUAGUGAGCUCUACAGACUGUUGUGGCACCGGAAUUUGUUUUCCGUUCAUGAUGGAAGGGGUCAAACUGAUCAACCA
rnacentral:rRNA from 1 species